ACUAUUUUGGCAGAAAAGUGCCAUGGAUUUAGAAUUCAUAAAUGUAAGUUAAGCUUACAAAUAGUA
rnacentral:tRNA from 1 species